AGCAUGCAUGACACACUGGGUAGACCUGGGGAUGUGGAAGGGAAUGUUGAAGAGAAUAUCAAACUUUGCUACUGCCUGUUUGAGAUUGAGCUGCUGUAUAUCAUUUUCUUGUUUUUAGCUGGGAUAAUAUUACUUCUCCAUACAAGAGAUAUUCUCUGGGCGUAGAGGCACUUUCCCCAUGACUUUUCUUUACAGGUGGGGGAGGUGAAUGCACAGUUCCUUUACUAGUCACAUCUCAGUAGCCUGGGACAGAAAUCAAGUAUCUUAUCUUGAUAAGUAUGUUAUCAGGUGUCUUAUCAAGUACAGGUAAGAAUUGAAAGACCUGGGGAAGUUUAACCUGGAGGAGAGUGAAUAUAAGGGGUUAAUAGGGCAUCUCUCUUCAAAAAGCUGAAAGAUAGGCACGUGGAAAGCAGAAUAAACUUAUGUCAACUUCUGUAGAAGACAGUACUAGGACCAAUGGAUCAAAGUUGUAGGAAGGUGGAUUUUUAGGUCUUCUAAAAAGAGACCUGGCAAUAAGAGCUGGUUUCUUCUGUUCAAAAGUAGUUAGCACCAGCUACUUCUUAGGGAUUGUCAAAGGAAUUCCUGAUUGAGAGAAAGUCUGAACUAAGGGGGACUUGCUUAUUUGAAGACUACAUCUAAUAUUUUUCAUGUGUCAUAAUGCCUAUGAAGAGAAGUGGCUUGCCUCAGACUCUUGCUUAAACAAACCUUAGUUCAUUUCUACUAGUUCCUACCCAAAAGUGAAAUUUUCCUUUAAGAAUAUAAGGGACCUCUCAGAAUUCAAGGAAUAGUUGUACAGCUAGGCUCAGGAAAAAGAACUAAGAUAGCUGUGAGGAACUCAACUGCACCUUUGUUUUAAUACUCUGCCUCACUGACAUGGUUAGUUUCCAAAUACCAGCUUAUGUGCCUUUAAUUUGAAAUUUUCAUAUGAGAUGCUCUGAUUGCCUUGUUUUGAGUCAUGAGUCUACCCUUGAUCCAAUCAGCUAUAGACAAGAAGAAAGGGUCAUAUAAUAGAAGUAAGAUUAAAAUGGUGGCAGGCCUAGGCUUUCUCCUCUGGAUAGUGGUCAAUAGCUCUAAGAGGGGAGAUAGAGUAAGUCACAGACUAGCUAGACACCCCCCAAAAUAUUUAUUACAUUUUCAAAAAUGUCAGCCAGGAUUUCGGCUGUUUGAGUCUGUUUUGGACAACCGAUAUUUAUUAUGUAAUUAUUAUAUGCAAGGUGCCACGAUAGAUGAUAGGCAGAAUGUAAAAUAUAAUAUAUGUUCCCUGACCUCUGGGUACUUACAAUCACUUUGUCCAUUAGACUGUUCAUUGUUUAAUUGGUUAUCUUGUGUGAAUUUCACUUUGGGAGGACUAACCUACUAAUUAUGUAGAGGCUCCAUAUAAACUUGAGAACAUUUCUCAGUUGUAUAUUAAAGACAUUUGCUUUUUCUAAAUGUCCACACAUGUAAUAUUUGUAUAGGUCAAUGCUAAAAGACUGUCAUAAGCUCAAGUCCCCCAAAUAAGCAAAAUGCCCAAUCCUUCCUCCCCAAACAAAGAUAAUGAGUUGUAUGUCUUACAUUGCUGGGAAUAUAUCACAUUAAAACGUGUGCUUAUUUUUAUAUGUACAUAAGGUGGAAUAUAACAUUAAAUUUUUUUUAAUGUUUAUUUUUGAGAGAGAGAGAGACAGAGCUCGAGCAGGGAAGGGGCAGAGAGAGAGAGAGGAGACACAGAAUCUGAAGCAGUCUCCAGGCUCUGAGCUGUCAGCACAGACCGGAUGUGGGGCUCAAACCCACAAACUGUGAGAUUAUAACCUAAGCUGAAGUCAGAUGCUAAACCGACUCAGCCACCCAGGAUCCCUGAAGAUAACAAAUGUUUUAAGUGUCUGUGAGCUACCCAAUAUGCUAGGAAUAGGAAGCAUAUCAACUAGUACAACAGAUGGUUACAUAGAGUGGAGAAGACAGAGGUGAGAAUGAGAGAGAAAUAAUCUUUUUGUUUCUCAAAGCCAUGAGCAGGAAUAAUAAAGCAUUGUAUGCAUAUGGGGGUGUUUUGUUAUUGUGUUCAUUUUUAUUCUGAAUAGAGAAAGGACUCUUCAUAAAGAAAUGAAUAAAUCUUUUUUUAAGUUUUUAUUUAAAUUCCAGUUAGUCAACAUACAGUGUAACAUUAGUAAUACUAACUACAGUAAAAUGUUAGUAAUUCAACACUUAUAUACAACACCAGUGCUCAUGAUAACAAGUGCCCUCCUUAAUCCCCAUCACCUGUUUAACCCAUUCCCCUACCCGCCUCCCCUCUGGUAAUCAUCAGUUUGUUCUCUAUGGUUAAGGGUCUGUUUCUUGGUUUUCCUCUCUUUUUACCCCGCACCGCCACUCCAAGUUUGCUUUGUUUCUUGAAUUCCACAUAUGAGUGAAAUCCUGUGGUGUUUAUCUUAGCAUAAUACUCUCUAGCUCCAUCCAUGUCAUUGUAAAUGGCAAGAUUUCAUUCCUUUUAUGGCUGAGUAAUAUUCCAUUAUAUAUAUACACUACAUCUUCUUUAUCCAUUCAUCAACAGAUGGACAUUUGGCUGCUUCCAUAAUUUGGCUAUUGUUGCUAAUGCUGCUAUAAACAUCAGGGUGCACGUAUCCCUUUGGAUUUGUACUUUUGUAUUCUUUGAGUAAAUACCUAGUAGUGCAAGGUAUCAUUGGAUCAUAGGGUAGGUCUAUUUUUAGCUUUUUGAGGAAUCUCCAUACUGUUAAGAAAUGAAUAAAUCUUAUUAGAACUUGUUUCAAAUAUAUAUAUUUUUAUUCUCAGAGCGGGAAUGCUAAAUCAUUAUUUAAUUUUUUUUUCAUUAUUUAAAUUUUGUCUCCAUUUAUUUUUUAUUUUUUUAUUUAAAAAAAUUUUUUUUUUAGUGUUUUUAUUUUUGAAGGAGAGAGAGAGAGACAGAGCAUGAGUGGAGGAGGAGCACAGAGACAGGGAGACACAGAAUUCGAAGGAGGCUCCAGGCUCUGAGCUGUCAGCACAGAGCCCGACGCAGGGCUCGAAUUCACAAACCGCGAGAUCAUGACCUGAGCCGAAGCCGGACGCUCAACCGACCGAGCCACCCAGGUGCCCCUGUCUCCAUUUUUUAAAAUGUUUAUUUAUUUUGAGGGAAAGAGAGACAGAGCAUGAGUGGGGGAGGGGCACAGAGAGCAAGGGAGACACAGAAUCCAAAGCAGGCUCCAGGCUCUGAGCUGUCAGCACAGAGCCUGACGCUGGCUCGAACUCACAACUGCAGGAUCAUGACCUGAACCGAAGUCAGACGUUGAACCGACUGAGCCACCCAGGUGCCCCCCUCCUUUUUUAAAAAAUUGGACAAACCUGUUAACUUUUACUCUAGAAUGUGUCAUAUCUCAUUUUAUAGAGGAAAUACUCAGGUUUAUCACCUUGUGACUUCCUGAUCUUGUGGCAUUUGGAAAUAGUGUUAAUGUUACUGUGGUAGUACUUUGAUUUUGUAACUGUAGACCUACGCACUAUUAACAUUUUUGACUGGAUAAUUCCUGGUUGUGAGGGGCUAUUCUGCCAUUCUAGUGUAUUUAACAGCAUCCCUGGCUUCUACCCCUUUAGAUGCCAGUAGUAAUACCUUCAGAGGCACAAAAAUGCUCUCAACUGAGAAUCACUACUAUAGACAUAGGCGGUGAUUCCCCACAGCAGGUUUCAGUGUGGAUCUCACACAGUAUUCGACAGUCUGAUGCACUCCACCAGUAUUUGUGAUCUGGAACAGCAGAGCAACACAAAGGUACAAAUUUGGGGGCAAUUUUUUUUUCUUUAUUUUUGAGGGGGCAGUAUUUUUUUAAAAGGCCACCACUCAAUUUGGGGAAGAUUCUUGAAGAAUCAUUGAGCUCUUAAUUGGUUGGUUGAUUAAUCAAUUGAUAGAUUCAUUCAUUUAAUAAAAAUAUAUUGAGCUCUUGCUAUAGGCCAGUCUCAGUGUUGGGACACGUGUGUUGCUGUGUGGUUCAUGUGGCUGUAUGUAGUGGGUUGGCGGGAAGUAAGCCCGUAGGUAGACCUGUGAAGAAGCUGUUGGGUGUAAUAUAGGUGAAAAAUGAUGGUUGCCUGGAUUUAGGUAGUGACAGUGGCAUGAUGAGAAGAGAUUUGCUUGAUAUUUAGGAGCUAAAAACAUUAGGAUUUGGUAACUGAUUGGAGCAAGAGAGAAGUCAAGACUAAUUCCCAAGUUUCUGGCUUAGUUAAAAGAGUGACAAGUGGUAGCAUUCAUAAAGACGAGCAGAGUGGGAAGAACAGGAUUCUUUUUGAAGGGGGAGCAGAUACUGAUUUCCGUUUUUAACACUUUUCUUUGGAGGUAGCCUUUGAGAUAUCCAAGAGGAUGAGCUAGACAAUGAACUUGGGAAUUGCAAGGAUCCUAUCUGUUUUGUUCCUUGUUGUAUCCUGUUCUUCAUGUGGUGUCUACCUUUCUAGGGAUGGAAACAGGUUUAGGCUGGAUGUAUAGAUUUGGUAUUUUUCAGGGAAUAGUUGGUUUGAUUGAAAUGAAGGAAGCACAUCAAAGUGUCUAGGGAGAGUUCCUAUAGAAAGAAGAAGGCCUAGCAUUGCAACAUUUUGGGAGGUAUAUUCAAGGAACUGAAGAGGAGGGGCUGCAGAAGUCUGAGGAAAAUCAGGAGUGUCUGAAGACAAGGGAAGAGAGAAUUUUAAAAAGAAGGGAGUGUUUACUGGUUUUGAAUUCAAUUAAAAAGUCAAGUAAGAUGAAGACUGAUAAAAUGACAUUGGAUUUUGCAACUAAAACGUGUUCAUGACUUUUUGAGAACCUUUUUCAGUAGACUGAUGAUUGAAAGAGUUCAGUAAAUUUGGUUAAAUACUAAGUGGGAGUUGAGUGGAUGGAAUGACAGGUGCAGGUCAUGCUUUGAUGUAUUUUGGCUAUAAAGAAGAAAAGAGACUGAAAAUAGUAUAUGACGGAGGUAUGGGCUGCAGGAGGGCACGAGGGUUUGAACAUGUUUAAAUGCUGACAGGAAGGAGACAAUGGAGACAGAGAGGUUGGUAUAGGAGAGGAGAACAUGUAGAUGGGAGCAACUUGAGAUGGGAUGAGUCCAGAACACAGGGAGAAGGACUGCUCUUAGAUAGGGGUAGGGUACCCUUCAAACUGGAGGGAUAUUGUUAGUGAUAGAGAAGGUCCAUAUUCUACUGGGAUUAGCUUCCAGUCUUGGGAGUCUUUCAGGAAUUAUACUUCUGGGGCUUCCUAAUGGUUCAGAGUGACAGAAACAUUAAGAGACCUCUGGCAAAAUCCAUACCGUUUCUGAAUUCCCUGGGGUCCAUUGAUCCCCAGAGGUUGGAUCCAUUUGAUUAUUUGUCUUUAUUUUCAGUAGCAGGCAUAUAUUAGAAUUGGAUUCUGAACCUAUGGAUUAGGUUAGGAUUUGGGGUCCAAUUCUUGUCUAAAUAAUCAGAGCAGAGGGUAUUUUGAGUCCCUCAGGAAACUUAGCCAGGUGUUGAAGUACAACCUGGAGAUCACCUAGAUCCCAUAUUUUAAUGAGCAAAUAUGCCAUUCUCAUUAUGACUCUUCAUUAUUACUAAUCUAUAUGAUGGAUUGUUGAUUGUAGAAAACUCUGUUAUCAUACUAUUAAGCUUAAAUUUUACCGUUCAAAUGUUAAAAGGUUGAUUAUAGUUCAGGUUCUUCUGUGGCUUGAUAGAGGAUAUUCUUUGGAGCCAGAAAAAAACUAGAUUCAAAUCCUGAUUCCAUCACUCCAUUACAGACUGAGCCUCUGUGGCCUUGAGCAUGUCAUUUAUUCUUUAAUAUCGUCACGGGAAUACCUGGUAAUGUCUAAUUUGCAUCACAGUCACAAAGAUUAGAGGUCUUGCAUAUAUGCCAGCACAGUGUUGAUAUUAAUAAAUAGGAGCUGAUAUUAUUUUUAAUUAUAUAAAAAUAAUUUAUUAUUUACUAUUAGAAGACCCUUAGUGAGCAUACUCUGAAUUAAUUGUUAGAGUACCAAAUCAAGGGGCACCUGGGUGGCUCAGUUGGUUGAGCAUCUGACCUUUGAUUUCGGCUCAGGUCAUAAUCUUAUGGCUCAUAGGCUCGAGCCCCGUGUCAGGCUCUGCACUCCCAGCAUGGAGCCUGCUUGGGAUUCUCUUUCUCCAUUUCUCUUUGCCCUUCCCCUGCAUGUGCAAACACAUUCUCUCUCUCUCUCUCUCUCUCUCUCUCUCUCUCUCUCUCUCUCUGUCUCUCAAAAUGAAUAAGUAAACUAUUUUUUUUAAAGCAUACCAAAUCAAAAUUGAGGAUUUUCUUUUUUAUCAUGGGUCUAAGAGAGAUUAAUGGUGAUGUCCUUGGUAUAAAUUUUGGUAGUCUCAGAAAUUUUGCAAUAAUCCUGGGCCAACUAAAAACAACUUUUAUUGGCCUACAUAUCAUCAUAGUAAAUAAAGAGAAAAGAGGUAAAAUUCUCGAUUUUUAAAGUAUAUGGAAACAAAUUUUAUUGGAUCCCUGUUAUUUUCCAUUAGUGUAUCUUAGCUAGAACAUGUCAUGGUUUUACAGAGUUAGCCUCUUCAAUCCUUUUUUUCUUCUGUUUAAUAACUUCUUUUCCCCCUUCUUCCUUUGCUUCAGAUUAUUGGAAACCUUCUCAUUGUUGCAGCAUUUGGUACUGUCAGUCACGCCAGGAAAGCUUCUUACACACUAGAAAUGCUGUGGGAUGUGUGUGUGAGAGAGAGAGAAAGAGAGGGGAAGAGCUGGGGAAAGAGUGGGGGCAGAAGAGGAAGAAUGGUGUCUAGGAUAAUUGUGCUGGUGUUUUUCCAAGUAUCUUCAGAGACCUGUUUGUCUCUGGUUUAGGUACUCUAUGGGCCUAACUGUUCAAAAUAACAACUCAGAAGAAAAAAAAGGUUUUAUGAACUUUUCAGGUUAAGUCAUCUUUAUUUUAUUCCCUGGGCCCCUUUACCUAUAUCCUCCUCCCCACCUGUACCAUCAUUUCAACACUGAAGCACCCGAUUCCCUGGAGUAUUAAUGGAGACAGUUCAAGUAUCUGCUCCAUUUCCUUUGUUCUAGUUGCUUUUGGUCUUUGCUGGGAAAUGCUCUGAAGACUGAACCAGCUUCUGAACACAAAGGCUGGCGGUGUUGUCCCUCCUGGUAAUGCACCGUGGGAUUUGUUCCCACUGCCUGUUCAUGACUCAUUAGUCCCUAAGUGCAGAAAAGGUUGCUUCUGGAAUAAAAAGAAUGGACCCAUCUCAGCGUCCUUUUUCACUUUUUCCUGUGUUUUAUUUGGGUGCACUCACAGCCCUUCACCUUCAUUAGUGAGCUGACAGGGGGCUGGCACAGUGCGAGAGAAGCUUUUGCUGGUUCCCUGAGGUAUAUCAGAGAUCUCAGAACUCAAUACCUUACCAUAAAAAUACUGUGCUUCAAACAACCUCUGGAUGGAACAAAGCCAUACAUUCCAAUCUGCUUGAGCCUCUCAAGUUGCCAUCCUUGCCAAGAACCAGCUUUUUUCCCUUCUCUGAAUGUAGUUCUUUUGGUAUCCUUUGUAUCAGGUAAAUGUUUCUGUGUGUAUGAAAAAGCAAGCUUUGGGCAAGGGCCAUUAUAUUUAUUUAUUUAUUUUUCAGUUUUUAUUUGUUUAUUUUGAGAGAGAGUAUGUGGGAAAGGUAGAGAGAGAGGGAGAGAGAAAGAAUCCCAGGCAGGCUCUGCACUGUUGGACGGAGCCUGAUGCGGGCAUCAAACUCACCCAAAGUGGGGCUUGAACUCACAACCUCCAGAUAAGACCCAAGGUGAAGUCAGAUGCUUAAUCGACUGAACCACCCAGACAUCCCAGAACCAAUGUAUUUAAAGCACACUUCAGGACAGUAGUUUCUUAUGAGAGAUGUAGGCAGCAGAUAUUUGUGGGCUUUUAUGCCCCAAGUGAUAUCAUUUCAGAUUUAUAUCUAAUAUUUGGGAAAGUCCAUGAAAAGUAGAGAUGCUGUAAAAAAAAACAACUGAGUUGCAUAUUUAUAAUUCAAGUUGUUUUUCCUAAUUUUCCCAAGUGAUCAAAUUAUUUUCAUAUUUAAAGCCCAGACAUCUGGAGAACUGUCUCUGACUCCAGAUCCACAUGUGUGUAUGAAUUCAGGAAUUGAGUGUGACACUAACAUGAACAAUGUCUAUCAAACCUUCCUUUAAAGUAUUUGGAGUGCCUGGGUGGCUCAGUUGGUUGAGUGACCGACUCCUGAUUUCAGCUCAGGUCAUGAUCCCAGGGUUUUGGGAUUGAGCCCCCACAUCAAGGCUCACGUCAGGCUCCAUGCUGAGCAUGGAAUGUGCUUAAGAUUCUCUCUCUCUCUCUCUCUCUCUCUCUCUCUCUCUCUCUCCCCCUCCCCCCCCCCUCUCUGCCCCUCUCGCCAAUUCGCGUGUGCUCUCUCUCUCUCUCAAAAUAAAUAAACAAACCUAAAACAAAUGUUUAAGUUUACCUAGAGGUUGCCUUUGGAUAUAUUAGCAUUGUUUGAGGUAACAGAUUCAGUAUUUGGAGUACAAUGUAAGAGUUUAGUAUGGACUAAAAGGCCAUGCUGUAUCAUGGAUGCUGUUUGAAAGAGGACUUAAUGAAAAUGAGAGAAGGCUAUGUACAGUACAUUGCCAUUUAUGAAAAAUUUAAAACAUAUAUAUGCAUAAAACAGUACUUCAUUUUUCAAAUAAAUAAGACAGAUGUCAGAUAAUUAAGUGAUUGCUUAUGUAGGAAUAGGAGACAAUGGGGAUUGGACAUAAAGGGGAAAAUCAAUAAAAACACAUAAACCAGGAGAAGGGCCUUCCACAGACUGAUAGUAAUAGUAUACUCUGGGCUGGGAAGUGUGUUUAACCCAGUAGUCUGGACAUGAGGUGCAUAUAAUUUGGGAGAGGUGACCGGAAAAUAGGUUCGGCGACAGCCAAAAAAAUGGUCAAAUGAAGGAAAACAGAAAUAAAAUAUUUUAAGUGUUAUGAUUCAUAAGCAAGAGGCCUUUAAGGAAGAAAAAUACCCCUAAAUACUACAUCUGGUUGUGCCCUUUUGGUUUUUGAAGCUUUUGUGGGAGAAAUAGUAAUUUCUCUUUUUUUCCCUUAGGUGAAGAUGUCUAUAAUAAGGAAAGCAGAUGUUUCUUUUCAAGUGCAUGUGUACACCUGCCAUAAGACAAAAUGAGUAGCUACUACUGAGAACAGGCUCUGGUUAUCUUUUAUGUUGCUUGUUAAAUUAAAAUUCUCUUCCUGGCAAGUAUAGGUUUGUAAUUAAGUCAUUUAUCAUAUGUUCUUUAGGCUACAUCUUAAACUUGAUGAUAAACAAAAGUGAUAUGUGGGUGGUUACUUAGAAAUUAGAUGGAUGAGUUAUUUUACUGGCCUCUGUCAUUUGAUGGUAGGUUCUUCCUGUUUAUAAUAGACAUUGAACAUUGGCUCAUUAUAUGCAACUGAAGGGAGCAAAAAAGAUCUUGGUCUAGAACUGUGUUCUCAACUUACUGUCAACCUACCAACACUCUUGAGGAGAUGAUACACUCCCAUUAGUAGAAGUGGCACUCUCUGGGCUCCAAACUCAAUUACUUAUAGGGUAAAGGAGUCUUCCUGUGCCAGAUACAGAUUUCCUUCCCCUCACUUUCAUGACACUGUUUUUUGCUAUAUUAGUUCUGUUGGUAUUCUGCCUCACGCCCGUUCACUUAUCUUAUGUCCACAUACUCAACACUUGAUAAUUUCAUUCAUUCCUUAUUACAACCUGUAUAUUAUACAUUUUUUUAAUGUCUAUUCAUUUUUGAGAGUGAGAGAGAGUGUGCGCACAUACACGAAUGAGUGGGGGAGGGGCAGAGAGAGAGGGAGACACAGAAUCUGAAGCAGGCUCUGAAACUGAUGUGGGGCUCGAACUCUCGAACCACGAGAUCAUGACUUGAGCUGAAGUCGGCACUUAACCAAUUGAGCCACCUCGGUGCCCCUACAACCUGCACAUUAUAGAUAAAGGAAACAGACUCCAAAAGGUUAAGUGAUUUUUCUAUGGCCAUACAGCUAUAGGUAACAGAACCAGGAUUAGAAGCCAAACCUAACUCCAAAGCUCAUCUUUUCCCCUUCCUGACUACACUGUGUUUUUCACGGGCUACAUUCUACAAAAGCCAUAUUUGUGUAGAGUGUGAUGUCUUCAUUAGACUCCUUAAUUUUUUAAGGGGACUUUAUUCCUACCCUCUGCUCCAGCUAUUGCUUAAUGGAUGUGGUGCUUUUAAGCACACAAAAUAUCCGUGUUCAGGUUCCUUUUCGAGAUGAGAUUUUUGAACUCUGUGUUGUCCAGUUGCUCAAAAGCCUACUUCUGAGAAAUGUUAUUUAUAGAAUAGUGGUGUUAAGUCACUGGCUUCAGUGAUGGAUGUUAUAGCAAAUAGCUGGAUGAAAUUCACUAUUCUGUCUGUGAGUUUUUAAUGAGAAGGCCACUUACUGUACUAUACCACAUCAUCUUUGGGAGGACCUGGAAUGGCAUUCUUUUCAGAUCUCAGGAUUUGGAAACACUGACUCGUUUUCUAAAAAAUCUCGUGGCUGUUAUGAAUCUUAUACUUGAUUGUACUUUCUUCUUUAUUUUGGUUACUAGGAAGGUUAGAGCCAAAUUUGCAGACCAUCUCUAAUACCCGUGGAGGAAUAAGCAAUAUAUAUUUGUGUGCUGAUCUUAAUCCUAGCAUUAUUUUCCUGUCUAUGUUCCUCUUUGAUCUCAUGUUUGUUAAUUAAAAAUUUUUUGCAUUGAAUGCAUUUUCAUAAACUGUGACAUAUCCCUUCACUGGUGAUGAAUAUAAAUGUACAAAUAACAUGUGUAAGGUCAACUGAAGCUUUCCUGACUUGAUGGUUAAUUCACCUUCCUGCUAGGAGUUCCAUGUACACACAUCCAUCUUCUUCAUUUGCUUUCCUCCUUUCUUUCAUCUUCUCCUAAUUUUCUGUUGUUUAUUAUGGAUUUCUCUCUCAAAGAACAGAUUAGUAGAAUUUCAGUGGUCCUUUUUAUUGUUGAGUAUGAACAUAAAGAGUUAUUUUUCUGAAAAAUUAGUCUUUUCAUGUAUAUUUCUCCAGGUUCAAUUUUUAGUAAAGGUAUAAAUUUAAUUUUUAUGAAAACAUUGAAUUUUCACUAACUUGAUUGCUUUCAUGAGGAUAAGAGUAAGGAAAUUUGUAGUCUUAAAAGGGUGCCAUUAUAGAAGUUUUUGAGUAUUUAUAUAGAAUAGAAUGAUAUUUCCAGCUUGUUCUCAUAAAAUUAAUGAAUUCCCUAUCUGUUGCCUCAUGGCCAUCUCUAAUUGGAUGUUCAAAUGGUACUUUGGAUGGCACUUCAAAUUGUCUGAAACUUCACAUAUAAUCUCCCCCCCCCCACAAUAAAGUUAUCUCUACCCUUUCCUUACCCCGUUUCUCACUCCAUUUCUUAUUUUGAUGAAUGGUACUGCUCUGCACCUACUCACCUGAACCACAUACAUGGCCAUCAUAUUAGAUGCCUCUAAUAUGUCACACAGUUUUUUAUGUUUUACCUACUUCACAGCUUUUUAAAAAGUAUUUAAAAUUUUUUAAAUUUUAUUUUAUUAAAAAUUUUUUUAAAAAAUGUUUAUUUAUUUUUGGGAGAGAGACAGAGCAAAAACAGGGCGAGAGGGGGUGUGUGCAGAGAGAGAGGGAGACACAGAAUCUGAAGCAGGCUCCAGGCUCUGAGCUUUAGCACAGAGCCUGGCACAGGGCUUGAACUCACGAGCUGUGAGAUCAUGACCUGAGCUGAAGUCAGAUGCUUAACCGACUGAUCCACCCAGGCGCCCCCCCGCCCAAUUUUUAUUUGAGAGAGAGAGAGAGAGAGAGAGAGAGAGAGAGAGAGAGCACUCACAUGAGCAGAGGAGAAGGGCAGAGAGAGAGAGAGAGAGAGAGAGAGAGAGAGAGA